rnacentral:snoRNA from 1 species
GUGCACGUUUCAUUGACUUGCUUUCUUCUGUUUGUGGGGGCAGUGCUAUUUCCUAUGUGCUGUACAAAUCGAUGAAGCUUCAUUAAGAGUCUAACUAAAUAGUCAUGCUGCUAGUCUCAGAUAGUU